rnacentral:rRNA from 1 species
GACGAACGCUGGCGGCGUGCCUAACACAUGCAAGUCGAGCGAGUUGAUUCUCUUCGGAGAUGAAGCUAGCGGCGGACGGGUGAGUAACACGUGGGCAACCUGCCUCAUAGAGGGGAAUAGCCUCCCGAAAGGGAGAUUAAUACCGCAUAAGAUUGUAGCUUCGCAUGAAGUAGCAAUUAAAGGAGCAAUCCGCUAUGAGAUGGGCCCGCGGCGCAUUAGCUAGUUGGUGAGGUAACGGCUCACCAAGGCGACGAUGCGUAGCCGACCUGAGAGGGUGAUCGGCCACAUUGGGACUGAGACACGGCCCAGACUCCUACGGGAGGCAGCAGUGGGGAAUAUUGCACAAUGGGGGAAACCCUGAUGCAGCAACGCCGCGUGAGUGAUGACGGCCUUCGGGUUGUAAAGCUCUGUCUUCAGGGACGAUAAUGACGGUACCUGAGGAGGAAGCCACGGCUAACUACGUGCCAGCAGCCGCGGUAA